UUGGUAAGAGUAACCAGGAAGAGAAAAUAAAUAAUGAUUCCCCCAGUAGUGGCGAGCGAACGGGGAACAGCCCAAACCGUUGACGUCGCAAGGCGCCAGCGGGGUUGUAGGACCGCGACAUUGUAUGCAAAUCGUGAACAGAACACUUUGGAAAAUGUGACCAUAGACGGUGAUAGUCCAGUAUGUGAAGCGAAAUGCAGCAUAGCGGUAUCCUGAGUAACGCGGGACACGAGGAAUCCUGCGCGAAUCUGCCGGGACCAUCCGGUAAGGCUAAAUACUCCCGUGAGACCGAUAGCGAACGAGUACUGUGAAGGAAAGGUGAAAAGAACCCCGAGCAGGGGAGUGAAAUAGUUCCUGAAACCAUACGCCUACAAGCGGUCGGAGCAUCUUACGAUGUGACGGCGUGCCUUUUGCAUAAUGAUCCUACGAGUUACCGUCACUGGCGAGGUUGAGUGUCACGAGACACGUAGCCGCAGUGAAAGCGAGCCUGAACAGGGCGCAUAGUCAGUGGGGGUAGACGCGAAACCAAGUGAUCUACACUUGGCCAGGAUGAAGUCCCGGUAACACGGGAUGGAGGUCCGCACCAAUAAGCGUUGAAAAGCUUCUGGAUGAGCCGAGUGUAGGAGUGAAAGGCCAAUCAAACUUGGAGAUAGCUCGUACUCCCCGAAAGGCAUUUAGGUGCCGCGUCGGAUGGUCACCGUGAGAGGUAGAGCGACCGAUAGGACAAGAGGGCUUCACCGCCUAUCGAGUCCUGACGAACUCCGAAUGCUCACGGUCUGCAGUCCGGCAGUAAGGGGGCGGGUGCUAAGGUCCGUCCCCGAGAGGAGAAGAAUCCAGACCGCCGUCUAAGGUCCCGGAGUUCUGCCUGAGUUAGUCUAACGAAGUCUGGUCCCUAUGACAGCUAGGAUGUUGGCUUGGAAGCAGCCAUUCAUUCAAAGAGUGCGUAACAGCUCACUAGUCGAGGGUCCGGGCAUGGAUAAUAAUCGGGUAUAAGGCAGACACCGAAGGCGCGGGAUAGCAUUUAAGAAAGUAUCGGUAGGGGAGCAUACUCACAGCGUGGAAUGGUGUACGUAAGUUAUCCUGGAGCGGUGAGUAAAGCAAAUGUAGGAAUAAGUAACGAUAAGGAGGGUUAGAUUCCCUCCCGCUGUAAGACCAAGGUUUCCCGGGCAAUGCCAAUCAGCCCGGGGUCAGUCGGGUCCUAAGUCUAAGCCGAACGGCGAUGGCGAUGGCAGAGACGGUUAAUAUUCCGUCACUGCCGCAUGGGGCGACGUGGAGACGGAGCAGUGAAACCACCGCGGGGCGACGGAAGUCCCCGUUGAAGAGUGUAGGUGUUGAGGAUGGCAGGCAAAUCCACCGUCCGAGCUGAACUUGAUAGUAUGGAGUCUUCUUCGGAAGAAUCCAAUAGUGUGGGUAAUCAUACUCCCGAGAAAAUCCGCUAAGCUUAACCCAUGCGGCACCCGUACCGCAAACGGACACACGUGGUCGGGUAGAACAUACUAAGGCGUUGAGAGAUUCAUGGUUAAGGAACUAGGCAAAUUGACCCUGUAACUUCGGGAUAAAGGGUCCUCGUGAUGAGCGAGGCGCAGAGAAUAGGUCCAGGCAACUGUUUAACAAAAACACAGGGCUGUGCAAACUCGAAAGAUGACGUAUACAGCCUGACACCUGCCCGGUGCCGGAAGGUUAAGAGGAGAUGUCACUCGCAAGAGGAAGCAUUGAAUUGAAGCCCCGGUAAACGGCGGCCGUAACUAUAACGGUCCUAAGGUAGCGAAAUUCCUUGUCGGGUAAGUUCCGACCUGCACGAAUGGUGUAAUGAUCCGGACGCUGUCUCAACCAUGAGCUCAGUGAAAUUGUAGUAUCGGUGAAGAUGCCGAUUACCCGCGAUGGGACGAAAAGACCCCGUGAACCUUUACUACAGCUUAGCAUUGACCUUGGUCAUCCGAUGUGUAGGAUAGGCCGGAGGCUUCGAAGCGGGAGCGCCAGCUUUCGUGGAGCCAUCCUUGAAAUACGGCCCUUUGGGGGAUCAGCCUGUUAUCCCCGGAGUACCUUUUAU
rnacentral:rRNA from 1 species